rnacentral:snoRNA from 1 species
UCGGCAAUGAAGAUGAAACCAUUGUACCAUCAAAUUCUGACGGCGCGUGGAGUGCCCUGACGACUAUUUUCAGCCUUGUCUGAGCCGA